GGUUGUUUUCUUUUUUUUUUUAAUAUUGAUUUUUUAGUUCUCGGCGGACACAACAUCUUUGUAUGUGGUGCUGAGGAUCGAACCUGGGCCGCACGCAUGCCAGGCGAGCGCGCUACCGCUUGAGCCACAUCUCCAGCCCCCAAAAGGUUGUUUUCUUAGUGGAAUGCUACAGGAUUUUCUUUAGCCAUCCGGAGUUCCUGCCCAGUGCCGGUGAAAACGAAAGUAGAAGAAUUUCCAGUGUUGCUGAGAACCGGACGAGACUUCGGAUCAAGCUAGCUGCCUGCAGAACUUACCUGGACUGUGAUUUACCUGGACUGUGAGUUAAUCUAUUGAGACACUGCUUUACCUGGACUGAGACAACAAACUGUAAUCUACAACAAAUUGUAACUCGGUGUCUUUGCAAACGGUGUCAUUGCUGGUAUAAUUUUUCCAAGGGCUUCUUGCAUGGAGCCAUCAAUUGGCUUGGUAUUAUGAUAUUUUAUAUCCUCCCCUUCUGCUUGUAGCAGAUUAUUUAUGGUGUUUGUGUAAAAAGCACUAUGGUCGUUAUUUAAAUUAAACAAAAGGAGGAAAUGUUAGGGUCUGUAAACAAGUCAGGAUAGUGCCUGGCAAAUGUUAAGAGUCUGUAUACAAGUCUGGAUGGCACCUGGCAUUUUGCCAGAGGGAGUGGUUUGUGAAGUAACGCCAGCGAGCCAUUAAAUGUGGAGAUUUCUUAUUGGUUGACUGCUGUAUCUAGUUUAUGUUAAUUAAGAUAGGCUGUGUGGAAUGUAUAAAUACCCCUCCUGUCCUACAAUAAAUGGCUCCCUCUCCUGCUGUAUCAAUCUACACAAAUUGUUUGUCACCCCGGUUAUUUUGCUGCAGCCGGACUGCGGCAGUAGAUAUAAUAGUGGCAAGAUAUUUCUUCUAUUUCAACGAAUAUAAAAAGGAAUAAGUAAUAUGAUUAUAUUUUUAAAAACAUUGGAAAGGUGUGGAAUCAAAUGAGCCUAUAUAAAUUAAAAUUUUAAGACAGAAGAACUCUUCCUUGUUGAGUUAUUAAUCUUUUUUUUUCUUUGGGUGCAGCAGAGAGACUCUACUAGGUAUAAAUAAGCGAAUAAAUGAAUAAGCAGAAUUUUUAAAAGCUUCUGUAUGGGCUGGUAUGAAAAUUGGAAUGGAGAGAAGAAAAAGGUAAACAUCCAAUUUUUCCUAAGGUGCACAAGAUAAGGUGGCAUAAGAAUCUUGGAACUAUACCAGAAAGGCUGAGUAAAGAGUUCCCUAAAUCUUACAAUGUUUGUGACUCAAAGUCCUAUUACUAGAAAGGUCAUGAAAGCAAAUAAACUAGAAACACAAAUCAAGAUGUAUUCUUGAAAUAUUUGUCAGUUGUCUACUUAUAUCCCUGAACCUGCUAAAUACAC
rnacentral:lncRNA from 1 species